rnacentral:lncRNA from 1 species
ACACAACAUUCCAGGAAUGUACUACCAAAGUUCUAUCAAUAUUUGAAUGUCCUGGACAUUUAGGGAACAUUCGGUGAACAUCUGAUUAAAUUAUUCGUGGAAUGUUACCAUAAGACAUUCUGUGAACAUACUACCAAUGUUCCUGUUCAUUUUCAAAUUCACGGCGCAUGUAUUUGUGCAUGGUGCUUAGAGAGGGCAUCACGUGACUAAAAACGACCAAUGACCUCACUUCAGACUUCGGUUCGGCCAUCUUGACAUGCAUCUUGGCCUUGGCCACCUUGCCGUGCGUGAUCGUUGUUUGUUUUUAUUUGUGCUUUUUAAGAAUAUUUUUUAAUUCGGAUACUUUUAUAAUAACUUUAAUAGUAUUAUUAAUAUAGUGCAUAAAAUCAGUUGGAGUAGCAGAAGCAAUGUAGAUAAAAAAUCUGCAGGAAUAAUGUUUCAAAGGUUAGUAUAUGCAAAUAUGUAAACAAAGGCAUGCCCCUAUUUCAGAAAAUAUCCAUUUAUUAUUUUAAUAAUUGCGAAUAAGCCACAAACUUGCUUAUUCCUAAUUAAAAUAGUAAAUAGAGAUAAUAACAAACGGAUUAUUUGUAAAAUUAAAUUUUUUUUUGCGUUUUUGCUAAUGUAUGCCUUUAUAAACAGGAUGGUAGACCACACACUAUAAUAGUACCAACUAAUGAAUACACAGUAUGAAUAGUACAGUCGGUUCGCUAAACUUAGUCUCAGACACAACUGGCUAGUGAUUUUAGUAAAUAAUUUUGACAAUUUGGUAAAAUUGGCAAAAAAAUAACUAAAUAGUUAGUAAUUUUGGCAAAAAUGGCCAAAAACAAAAAAAUUACCUACUAAAAUCACUAGCCAGUUGUGGCUAGGGAAACGACUAUACUAAUAAACAAUUUCUAAGCUGCUUUUUAUAAUAUUUUCUUUCCAGAAGAUCCUGCGAAGAAGGCAUGAAGUAUUGAUCAGAUUUGUUAAUAGAGCAGUAUGUUCAAAACAUUUUUUAGAAAAAGAUAUUGACAGAACUUCACUUUCAACCGUUUGAGAGACUGUGCUGUUCCAAUAGCUUAUAUCACACAGAAUCAGCUGAGAGAAGUGGUCUACAAAAAACCAGGAAGGAAAUGGAAUAUGUGGCUAUGAAAGGCAAAAGAAAGGUUUACAAAGCAAAUGUGACACAUUUUUUUAUAGGAAUAUCAGUAAAUUACAUUAAAAAAAUGUAUGAAAAGAUUUUUUGCAAUAAAAAUGUUUAUAUUUAUCAAGCAUGCAUUAUUUGGUAUGGCCACAUAUCGUCAGUGAUGUGACAAUACCUCCUAUCUGUUUUUUCAUGAGAUUUGUAAGAUAGACUAAAAACUUGUUUGGGCCACCUCCUGUUUUCAUAUAUUUUUUGACUUGUUUUGCAGUAAAUUUAACUAUCUAUUUACUACAAAACAAGCCAGAACUUACGUAUGCAAACAGGAGGUGACCUUAAAAAAUGUUUUUCGUCUCCUGCAAACCUCAUGAAAAAAGAUAUAGGAGGUAUUGUCACAGCACUGACGAUAUAUUUCAGAGAAUGUCUAAAAAAUAUACUGUGAAUGUUCAAAGAACGUUCGUAGACAUUCAUGGAAUGUUCCAACAAGACAUUUAGUCUAAAAAAUAUACUGUGAAUGUCCAAAGAACAUUCAUGGAAUGUCCCAACAAGACAUUCAGUCUAAAAAAUAUACUGUGAAUGUCCAAAGAACAUUCAUGGAAUGUUCCAACAAGACAUUCAGUCUAAAACAUAUACUGUGAAUGUCCAAAGAACAUUCGUAGACAUUCAUGGAAUGUUCCAACAGAACAUUCUAAGAAUAUUUAAAAUGCUGACACAGCACAUUCCAGGGACUUUCCAGGGACAUUCGUGUGCAUUUGGGGACAUUCCAGGAAUGUUUGGAAUGUCCUGUGAGUACAUUCUAGGAACAUUCAUGGAAUGUUUUGUGUUAU